CCGCCCGCGACUCGGCGAGAAGUCCAUUGAACCUUAUCAUUUAGAGGAAGGAGAAGUCGUAACAAGGUUUCCGUAGGUGAACCUGCGGAAGGAUCAUU
rnacentral:rRNA from 1 species